rnacentral:rRNA from 1 species
UGCAAAUCAAUAUAAAUUGAAUAAUAUUUAUUUAUUAAUUUAUUGAUUAUUUUUAUUUAUAUGUGUAUAUAUUAUGUAUUAAAAAUAAUUAUAAAAUUAUUUUGUUUUAGUAAUUUUUAAUGAAAAAAUAAAUUUAAUAAUAGUUUAUUUGUAUUGUGAAAGAAUAUUGAAAUAUUUUGAAAAAUUUUUAUUUAAAAAGAAAAAUUAAUUAUUUGUACCUUGUGUAUCAGGGUUUAUUAAAUAAUUAAUAAUUAUUUAUUAAUCUCGAUUUUAUAAGAGUUAAUAAUUUAUGAAAGUUAAUGUGUCAAAAUUAUUUUUAAUAAAUUAUUAGAAAUGAAAUGUUAUUCGUUUAUAAAUAUAUCUAGUUUUUUUAGAAAUAAAUUUAAUUUAUAAAUUUUUAAUUUAUUUAUUAUUUUAUAAAUAAAUAAAUUUAAUUAAUUUAAAUAUUUUAAGGGAUAAGCUUUAAAAUAAAUUAUUAUAAAUUUAAUAAAUAUAAAUAAAAAUAUAUGUUUAGAAUUAGCAAUUAUUAAAAAUUUUGUUAUAAAUUAUUUUAUAAAAUAUAUUAUUUAUUAAUAUUUUAAUUUUUUAUAAAAUUUUUUUUUUUAAUUUUAUUUAAAAAGAAAUAAUGAUAAAAUUAGUAUAUUAAUUAUGUUUAAUAAUUUUAUUUGAUAAGUUUAUAUAAAGAACUCGGCAAAUCUUUUACUCGCCUGUUUAACAAAAACAUGUCUUUUUGAGUUAUUUUUAAAGUCUAACCUGCCCAAUGAAUAAUUUAAUGGCCGCAGUAUUUUAACUGUGCAAAGGUAGCAUAAUCAUUAGUCUUUUAAUUGAAGGCUUGUAUGAAUGGUUGGACGAAGUAUAAUCUGUUUCAUAUAAAUUUAUUGUAGAAUUUUAUUUUUUAGUAAAAAAGCUAAAAUUUUGUUAAAAGACGAGAAGACCCUAUAAAUCUUUAUAAUUUUUAAAAUUUUUAUUUUUUAGUUUUCUUUUAUUUAAAUUUUAAUAAUUAUUUUGUUGGGGUGAUAUUAAAAUUUAAAAAACUUUUAAUUUUUAUUUACAUUAAUUUAUGAUUUAUUGAUCCAUUAUUAAUGAUUAUAAGAAUAAGUUACUUUAGGGAUAACAGCGUAAUUUUUUUGGAGAGUUCUUAUUGAUAAAAAAGUUUGCGACCUCGAUGUUGGAUUAAGAUAUAAUUUUAGGUGUAGUUGCUUAAAUAAUAAGUCUGUUCGACUUU